GACGAACGCUGGCGGCGUGCUUAACACAUGCAAGUCGAGCGGUAAGGCCCUUUCGGGGGUACACGAGCGGCGAACGGGUGAGUAACACGUGGGUGACCUGCCCUUAGCUCUGGGAUAAGCCUGGGAAACUGGGUCUAAUACCGGAUAUGACUCCAUGACGCAUGUUGUGGGGUGGAAAGCCUUGUGCGGCUAGGGAUGGGCCCGCGGCCUAUCAGCUUGUUGGUGGGGUGAUGGCCUACCAAGGCGACGAUCCGUAGCCGGCCUGAGAGGGCGGUCGGCCACACUGACACUGACAUACGGGUCAGACUCCUACGGGAGGCAGCAGUCGGGAAUUUUGGGCGAAUAGGGCGAAAGACCUCGACCCAGCAACGCCGCGUGAAGGAUGAAAUCCCUCGGGAUGUAAACUUCGCAAGAACGGGAAGAAUAAGUA
rnacentral:rRNA from 1 species